UUGCACGCUGGCGGCCUGCUCUACACAUGCAAGUCGCACGGUAACAGGCCGCAAGGUGCUGACGAGUGGCGAACGGGUGAGUAAUGCAUCGGAACGUGCCCAGUCGUGGGGGAUAACUACUCGAAAGAGUAGCUAAUACCGCAUACGAUCUAUGGAUGAAAGCGGGGGACCGUAAGGCCUCGCGCGAUUGGAGCGGCCGAUGUCAGAUUAGGUAGUUGGUGGGGUAAAGGCUCACCAAGCCAACGAUCUGUAGCUGGUCUGAGAGGACGACCAGCCACACUGGGACUGAGACACGGCCCAGACUCCUACGGGAGGCAGCAGUGGGGAAUUUUGGACAAUGGGCGCAAGCCUGAUCCAGCAAUGCCGCGUGCAGGAAGAAGGCCUUCGGGUUGUAAACUGCUUUUGUACGGAACGAAACGGCUCUGGUUAAUACCCGGGGCUAAUGACGGUACCGUAAGAAUAAGCACCGGCUAACUACGUG
rnacentral:rRNA from 1 species